rnacentral:rRNA from 1 species
ACGCUCGACACCUACGGGAGGCAGCAGUGGGGAAUAUUGCACAAUGGGGGAAACCCUGAUGCAGCAACGCCGCGUGAAGGAAGACGGUUUUCGGAUUGUAAACUUCUGUUCUUAGUGAAGAUAGUGACGGUAGCUAAGGAGCAAGCCACGGCUAACUACGUGCCGACAGCCGGCGGUAAUCUGAGCGGGCUGGCAAGGC